UACGAAGGGGGGCUAGCGUUGCUCGGAAUCACUGGGCGUAAAGCGCACGUAGGCGGACUCUUAAGUCGGGGGUGAAAUCCUGGAGCUCAACUCCAGAACUGCCUUCGAUACUGGGAGUCUUGAGUUCGGGGAGAGGUGAGUGGAACUGCGAGUGUAGAGGUGAAAUUCGUAGAUAUUCGCAAGAACACCAGUGGCGAAGGCGGCUCACUGGCCCGAUACUGACGCUGAGGUGCGAAAGCGUGGGGAGCAAACAGG
rnacentral:rRNA from 1 species